UACGAAGGGGGCUAGCGUUGCUCGGAAUUACUGGGCGUAAAGGGCGCGUAGGCGGAUCGUUAAGUCAGGGGUGAAAUCCCGGGGCUCAACCUCGGAACUGCCCUUGAUACUGGCGAUCUUGAGUAUGAGAGAGGUAUGUGGAACUCCGAGUGUAGAGGUGAAAUUCGUAGAUAUUCGGAAGAACACCAGGGGCGAAGGCGACAUACUGGCUCAUUACUGACGCUGAGGCGCGAAAGCGUGGGGAGCAAACAGG
rnacentral:rRNA from 1 species